UACGUAGGGUGCAAGCGUUAAUCGGAAUUACUGGGCGUAAAGCGUGCGCAGGCGGUUUCGUAAGUCUGUCGUGAAAUCCCCGGGCUUAACCUGGGAAUGGCGAUGGAGACUGCGAGGCUAGAGUUUGGCAGAGGGGGGUAGAAUUCCACGUGUAGCAGUGAAAUGCGUAGAGAUGUGGAGGAACACCGAUGGCGAAGGCAGCCCCCUGGGUCAAAACUGACGCUCAUGCACGAAAGCUAGGGGAGCAAACAGG
rnacentral:rRNA from 1 species